UCGAAAUACAAUGGAGAAAAAGGAGUGGCUCACUAUGGUUGCACGUCACAGUGACACAUGGCUAUUUCGUGUUGCAUUCUAUUUUAGUUCAAGAUUUCGCCAUGACCAAGCUGAUAGGAGUCGACUUUUCAAUAUGAUAAAUGAAUUCCCUACCAUCUUAGAAGUUGUGUCAGCUCAAUGAUGACAGCCAGCCAGAUCAGAGAUAAAGUGGCCAGUGUGUGGAAGAUGCAAUGAGAGGUAUAUAGAAGGUGACUUGUGGAAACAGUGUUCGGAAUGCCAAACCCCUUUCCAUUUGAUGAAAUGCCUCAAACUCAACAAGGAUAAGCAUCGUCUA